GACGAACGCUGGCGGCGUGCCUAAUACAUGCAAGUCGAACGCUGAAGGAGGAGCUUGCUUCUCCGGAUGAGUUGCGAACGGGUGAGUAACGCGUAGGUAACCUGCCUGGUAGCGGGGGAUAACUAUUGGAAACGAUAGCUAAUACCGCAUAAGAGUAGAUGUUGCAUGACAUUUGCUUAAAAGGUGCAAUUGCAUCACUACCAGAUGGACCUGCGUUGUAUUAGCUAGUUGGUGAGGUAACGGCUCACCAAGGCGACGAUACAUAGCCGACCUGAGAGGGGGAUCGGCCACAAUGGGACUGAGACACGGCCCAGACUCCUACGGGAGGCAGCAGGAGGGAAUCUUCGGCAAUGGACGGAAGGCUGACCGAGCAACGCCGCGUGAGUGAAGAAGGGUUUCGGAUCGUAAAGCUCUGUUGUAAGAGAAGAACGAGUGUGAGAGUGGAAAGUUCACACUGUGACGGUAUCUUACCAGAAAGAGACGGCUAACUACGUG
rnacentral:rRNA from 1 species